GUAUAAGAAAACCUCACGUGUAUUUUUCUAUGGCGAAACUAAAAAAAAAAUAUCUACCACAUACUUUUACUCGGUUUUGUUUAACAUAAAUCUUCACUUGGCACUUCUAAAUAGCGAGUCUAAACAAAAUUUACUCUACACAAUACUAUUUAUCUUAAAAUUAGGUCGAAUGAAAAAAAUAAUAAAAAAAUACACGUGAGGUCAUGUGGGGGAGGGGGUUCACCAAAUAUCACCAAGGGAGAGGGGGCGUCAAAAAAGUAGCCGAAAAAACCUCGCGUGAUUUGUGCACAAGCCCUUCGAUGUCUUUUAUCUUUUCCUGUUUUGUACCUACGCUUAUAGAAUACCCCCCUCAGUUCGAGACGCAGGAUUCACUGCACGUCCAUAGUGCAUCCAAGCGUCUCAAGAUGUGCACCACAGGGAAGUUACUCGUACUGGGCUCGAAUUACCGGCGUUAAACCUCAGCGUCGUAGCUCGUAAAACUGACAAUUCCAGGCUGGCACUGAAUAACAAUCGGCCUCCGACUCGAAAUGAACUGGACGCACAAUUAUACACUCGGAGAAAAUUUAGUUAAAGCUAGAAACACCUCUCACUUCAUAGAGAACAUCAUCGACAACAAAUGGGUCCAAAGCGGCUUUUGCAUCUUCUACACCAUCAUCUUCGUCCUCGGCCUUCUCGGCAACCUCCUCGUCUGCUUCGUCGUCAUUCGAAACAAAGCCAUGCAGACCGUCACCAAUCUAUUCAUUACCAAUCUAGCCUUGUCUGACAUACUACUCUGCAUAUUUGCCGUCCCGUUCACUCCGCUCUACUCCUUCCGAGGCACGUGGGGCUGGGGCAGUAUCUUAUGUCACAUAAUGCCUUUUGCACAAGGUUGCAGCGUAUACAUAUCUACAUUGACACUUAUGUCUAUAGCUAUCGAUAGAUUCUUCGUGAUUAUUUAUCCGUUCAGGCCAAGAAUGAAGAUAGGGACGUGCGUCACCGUUAUAUUUAUGAUCUGGACUUUUGCCGUCACUGUGACAAUGCCUUACGCUUUAUUUAUGACUUAUUAUGAAGUUCCUGGUGUCGGGAAGUAUUGUGAGGAAAUGUGGCCCUCUGAAGAGCUUAGACAAGUGUUCGGCUCCAUAACUUCUAUCAUGCAAUUUGUACUACCUUUUAUCGUCAUCGCUUUCUGCUAUACGUGUGUCAGUUUCAAACUGAACGAUAGAGCCAAAGCUAAAGCAGCUGCAAAGAACUCCCGUAAAGAAGAGAUAGAUAAGAACAGAAAACGUCGAACGAACCAGAUGUUGAUCGCGAUGGUGACUAUCUUCGGCCUGUCGUGGCUUCCUCUCAACGUCAUAAACUUAUGCAAUGACUAUUAUAAAUACGCUAUCCAUUUGAAGUAUUACUUGGUGACAUUUUUCAUCUGUCACGGCAUAGCUAUGUCGUCAACAUGUUACAAUCCAUUCAUUUACGCGUGGAUGAAUGAGAAUUUCCGUAAGGAGUUUAAGCAGUUGAUUCCUUGCAUGGAUACGUCAGCUCACUUAAGGGCUAAUAUUCAGUUGGAUCCGAUGGGCCCCUCGGAGAAAACGUUUAAUGGGAACACGACUACUGAUAGUUACUUGGGGUCUAGUUCUCAGAGGGGGACGUCGUUUAGGAAUAAGAGGAAGCCGAGUGCGGCAGCGGAUGUGGAGAGGAGCGGAGUGGAGCUGAAUGAGGACCUGCUGACGGUGGACGUGAAGCACUGCCACAUCUCGACGAGCUACAACCUGCGCCGGGAGUCUGUGAAGCUGCGGCUUAUCAACGAGGAGUCAUUUGAUGGCACGCCGCCCCAGAGUCAAUUCUAACGCUUGAUUUCUUGGGUAAACAUUACAUUGCAAACGAUAAUUUAAAACAACUUUUGCCUUACAUUUAAUGUCAAACCUUUUCAACCAUUCCCCAUAUGCAUUUUGAAUAAUGAUUAACAGAGUACAUUACCUUAAGAUAACAGGUACUUUAAUCAACGAUGCUCAGAAAAAUGUUUGACACAAUCUAACGUGUAAAUAUAAAAUCGUAACAUAUAUAUUGCGUACUUCUUGAAUACAAUCUUCUUGGAAUAUAUUAAAUAUCCUGUAAUAACAGUGUCCUGUACAUGUAAGUAGUAAGUAGUGUAACUCAAAAUGCUCGAAUGCAUUCUAAAGAUUGCCAAUAAUUCGAACUUAUGGUACCUCUCAUACCUAGCGAUGUUUUCGCCAAAGUCAAUAACAGGCAUCGCCAACGACCCAAACCCAAUUUCCCCAGUGUGUAUUUUUGUGAACUAAUAACAAGUUUUGCCUCCAUUUGCCAACAGCCAGUUUCAAAAGUUCCCCCAAUUGAAUUUUUAUCAGUUUAUUAAAUUAAUUCUGUUUUGCAGGUGCGGCGGUGGCGGCGUGCCCAUUUUUAAGCAUAGCAAUGACAUAGAGAAUUAAGUAAGCAUAGAAUGUUCUCUCCAUAAAUCAAUUUUCUUAUCAAAAUGUUUAUUAUUUUCGUAAUCGACAUCUAGCGUCAAGUAGCGGUUUUAUCAGUAUUGCUACUUGACAAUAGAUGUCGUGACGACGUAACGAACGGGAAGUAAUAUUAGUUGUAAAUUGUUGAGCUUUUAUACACUUGUCGUCAGUCGCGACACUCGUGACAUCUAGUGUCAAGUAGCGGUACUUGACGCUAGAUGUUGACUACGAAAAUAAUAAGCAUUUUGGCAAGAAAACUGAAGUACGGAGUGAGCACCCUAUAGAGUUAACAAUAUUUUUGGAGUAAGAUUUUCUGACAUUUUUGGACUACACAAAUUUAUGGACAACUACAUGACGCUUAUGAAAUGUAUGUUAAGGUAUAAACGUGAUAUUUUUUUCAUUUCUACCAAUGUAAUAUUGUCAGGAGAAAAUACUUGAAUAAGUAUAUUAAAUCUGUUCGAUUUUACGAAGUAGGUUAUAGCAAAAACAGAUUUUAAUUUAUAGUCUGGCCAAUCAUUCGUGUCAGUAGGAGAGCAGUUAAAAUAUAUAUAGUCAUCCCUUUCUUUUUGGUGGUAGAUACUUCUUAUAAUUAGGAAAGAUUCUUCUUUCCUCUUUAGUCACCUUUAGUUGGCCAAACUAUAUAAUUAAAGUAUUUAUCAGAAUUAAAUUAAAUGUAUUUUGGUAAUGCAUAGUUAAGGUAACGUCCCAAUUAUCGUUCAAAAACAAAUAAAAACGCUUAUAAAAGUGUAAUAAAAAGAAAUCAUAAGAAUAGAGUAGGAAGUAGGGUCUUUUAUUGUUAUUCCUGUAGUAAUUGGGUAGAUUCGGUGUUUUCUGUUUAUUUUUGACGUUCUCGUGGAAAGGGACUUACGCAAAUUUGUUUAUAUUUACCCCUUUAAGGAAUAUGUAAUUCAAAUUAGAAAGUAAGAAUGAAAUCGUUAUGAUUCCGUAAUUGGAUGUUGCUUUAAAUAUUUUGUAUUUUAAAUAAAUAAAUAUUAAAGGACAUUAUUACACAAAGUCCCACAGUAAGCUCAAUAAGGCUUGUAUUGAGGGUACUCAGACAACGAUAUAUAUAAUAUAUAAAUAAUUAAAAAUACUUAAAUACAUAGAAAACACCCAUGACCCAGGAACAAAUAUCCAUGCUCAUCACACGAAUAAAUGCCCUUACCAGGAUUUGAACCCGGGACCAUCAGCUUCGUAGGCAGGGUCACUACCCACUAGGCCAAACCGGUCGUCAAUUUUAUAACUAGCAAGUGGAAUAAAUUACCAGAAGCAGUGAUGAAUGCUCCUUCACUGAACAGUUUUAACAACAGACAAACUUUGAUAAACAUUUAAAAUUAUCACAACGAACAUUAAUCGUAUGAAAAAAAACAAGUGCAGUGCACACAGCAGAUUCCAGCUGCUAGUGUAUCAAACAAUAUAAUAAUAACUCUGUCUAUGUAAAGCAUAAUAUAUAUGUAUUUGUAGGUCGUACUGAAGAUCUUUUACCUUGGGGCUCACCCUGUCAAAUAAAAAAUGGCUGAUUCAGCACGUUCUAUCAAGUCGAAGUUUUCAACAGACAGCCAAAAAAUAAUUUCGGGUUCGAGAAGUGGAAUUUUGAGCGUUGCGAGGGUUCCAAUGCACGAGGGUUAAACAAAAUUUGCCUCCGAGUGAAACACAAAAUUUUUCACCACACCAACACGAGGAAACUACUAACUAUGAAAUACCAAAAAAUUCAAAUGAGAUCAAGUCCAAAUGAACGUAAUAAAAAAAUAAUCAUUCAAAAUCAUCAUUUAAAAGUCAAUUCUACUAACUAACAUAAGGAAACAACUCAAAAUUUGCAUCUGAUCACUUUGCCCCAAAUGUGGAUAAAAUGCAACUUUCUCAUUCGUUUUUGAACAAACACGAGGUUUCACCACAACGACUGGUAAAGGCCCUCUUGAUUGUUCAAAAACGAAUGAAGACUAUAUUAGUUAUGCAGGAUAAAUUAAAAACAUUGUCAAAGUCCCUUUUCCGAGAGAAGUCGAUAGUAUUUCGCGGUAUAGCUGCAGUUAGACUCGCCAACUACACCUCCAAUUUUCAAACUGCCGUGCUAUGCCAAACCAUAAUAAUAAUAAUAAAAUUCUUUAUUGCACACUUCAUAAAAAAAAGAUACAGAAAUUGAGAAAAUAUAUAAAUUGGUAAGUCACAACAGAAUAU